rnacentral:rRNA from 1 species
AAACCAGCACCUCAAGUGGUCAGGAUGAUUAUUGGGCCUAAAGCAUCCGUAGCCGGCUCAGUAAGUUUUCGGUUAAAUCUGUACGCUUAACGUACAGGCUGCCGGGAAUACUGCAGAGCUAGGGAGUGGGAGAGGUAGACGGUACUCGGGAGGAAGUGGUAAAAUGCUUUGAUCUUUCGAUGACCACCUGUGGCGAAGGCGGUCUACCAGAACACGUCCGACGGUGAGGGAUGAAAGCUGGGGGAGCAAACCGGAUUAGAAACCCGAGUAGUCC